GCUGUUAAGGGUUCGUAGUUGGUAACGGGGUUGCGAGGUGGAGGCCUGCCUGGAGCAAUCCUUGUUCGGUCUCCGUUACCUCCAGCCGGCUAUUGAGGGAGCAAAGGACCCCUGCGGAGCCUCUCCGGAGGUGGAUUGCACUCCCGCCCAAAUCGGGCAUGGGGUAUCCCUCGCAUCCUGUGAACAAAACAGCGUGUCCAAAGCAGCCAACUGCAAGGCUGGAUGAAAAAGCAUGGAUGACAGGGGAUCAACUGCUGUGUGGCAGUUCCCUUGUUGGUUUUUGCGCCCCGGCAGGGUGCCGGUGUACGCGCUUCCGGCUUCGCGCCGGUUCGGGGCCUUGCUUCGUGCCGGCGCGUGUCAGACCGUGCACCGAUUGGGAUCAAGAGGGACUGGCGGGGGAAAACGUAUGGGGAUGCCGAGGUGAAAUUCAGUGACCAUCCCCAGACGGACUUAUGCGAAGGCAUUUUCCAAGCUGUCUUCAUUAAUCAAGAACUAAAGCGUGGAGAUCGAAGAUGAUUAGAGACCAUUGUAGUCC
rnacentral:rRNA from 1 species